ACGAACGCUGGCGGCGUGCCUAAUACAUGCAAGUCGAACGCUUCUUUUUCCACCGGAGCUUGCUCCACCGGAAAAAGAGGAGUGGCGAACGGGUGAGUAACACGUGGGUAACCUGCCCAUCAGAAGGGGAUAACACUUGGAAACAGGUGCUAAUACCGUAUAACAAUCGAAACCGCAUGGUUUUGAUUUGAAAGGCGCUUUCGGGUGUCGCUGAUGGAUGGACCCGCGGUGCAUUAGCUAGUUGGUGAGGUAACGGCUCACCAAGGCGACGAUGCAUAGCCGACCUGAGAGGGUGAUCGGCCACAUUGGGACUGAGACACGGCCCAAACUCCUACGGGAGGCAGCAGUAGGGAAUCUUCGGCAAUGGACGAAAGUCUGACCGAGCAACGCCGCGUGAGUGAAGAAGGUUUUCGGAUCGUAAAACUCUGUUGUUAGAGAAGAACAAGGAUGAGAGUAACUGUUCAUCCCUUGACGGUAUCUAACCAGAAAGCCACGGCUAACUACGUGCCAGCAGCCGCGGUAAUACGUAGGUGGCAAGCGUUGUCCGGAUUUAUUGGGCGUAAAGCGAGCGCAGGCGGUUUCUUAAGUCUGAUGUGAAAGCCCCCGGCUCAACCGGGGAGGGUCAUUGGAAACUGGGAGACUUGAGUGCAGAAGAGGAGAGUGGAAUUCCAUGUGUAGCGGUGAAAUGCGUAGAUAUAUGGAGGAACACCAGUGGCGAAGGCGGCGCUCUGGUCUGUAACUGACGCUGAGGCUCGAAAGCGUGGGGAGCAAACAGGAUUAGAUACCCUGGUAGUCCACGCCGUAAACGAUGAGUGCUAAGUGUUGGAGGGUUUCCGCCCUUCAGUGCUGCAGCUAACGCAUUAAGCACUCCGCCUGGGGAGUACGACCGCAAGGUUGAAACUCAAAGGAAUUGACGGGGGCCCGCACAAGCGGUGGAGCAUGUGGUUUAAUUCGAAGCAACGCGAAGAACCUUACCAAGUCUUGACAUCCGCCUGACCGAUCCUUAACCGGAUCUUUCCUUCGGGACAGGCGAGACAGGUGGUGCAUGGUUGUCGUCAGCUCGUGUCGUGAGAUGUUGGGUUAAGUCCCGCAACGAGCGCAACCCUUAUUGUUAGUUGCCAUCAUUUAGUUGGGCACUCUAGCAAGACUGCCGGUGACAAACCGGAGGAAGGUGGGGAUGACGUCAAAUCAUCAUGCCCCUUAUGACCUGGGCUACACACGUGCUACAAUGGGAAGUACAACGAGUCGCAAAGUCGCGAGGCUAAGCUAAUCUCUUAAAGCUUCUCUCAGUUCGGAUUGUAGGCUGCAACUCGCCUACAUGAAGCCGGAAUCGCUAGUAAUCGCGGAUCAGCACGCCGCGGUGAAUACGUUCCCGGGCCUUGUACACACCGCCCGUCACACCACGAGAGUUUGUAACACCCGAAGUCGGUGAGGUAACCUUUUGGAGCCAGCCGCCUAAGGUGGGAUAGAUGAUUGGGGUG
rnacentral:rRNA from 1 species